UGAGGAAUUUUGCGCAAUGGGAGCAAUCCUGACGCAGCAACGCCGCGUGGGUGAUGAAGGCCUUCGGGUCGUAAAGCCCUGUCAGGUGGGAAGAAUGUCCCGGGACUGAACAGGUUCCGGGAGUGACGGUACCACCAGAGGAAGCACCGGCUAACUCCGUGCCAGCAGCCGCGGUCAUACGGAGGGUGCAAGCGUUAUUCGGAAUUACUGGGCGUAAAGCGCGUGUAGGCGGUCCCGCAAGUCUGAUGUGAAAGCCCCGGGCUUAACCCGGGAAGUGCAUUUGAAACUGUGGGACUUGAGUACGGGAGAGGAUGGGGGAAUUCCCGGUGUAGAGGUGAAAUGCGUAGAGAUCGGGAGGAAUAUCAGUGGCGAAGGCGCCCAUCUGGACGGUAACUGACGCUGAGACGCGAAAGCGUGGGGAGCAAACA
rnacentral:rRNA from 1 species